rnacentral:rRNA from 1 species
GACGAACCGUGCGAACGUUGUUCGGAAUCACUGGGCUUAAAGGGCGCGUAGGCGGGCUUGCAAGUCUGCGGUGAAAGCCUCCAGCUUAACUGGAGAAGUGCCGUGGAUACUGCGAGCCUCGAGGAGGGUAGGGGCGUCUGGAACGUUGGGUGGAGCGGUGAAAUGCGUUGAUAUCCAACGGAACUCCGGUGGCGAAGGCGGCAUCCUGGACCAACACUGACGCUGAGGAGCGAAAGCCAGGGGAGCAAACGGG